rnacentral:lncRNA from 1 species
UUAUUUCCCUACGUACAAAUUCCCCGAGCUUCCUGAAAUCCAGCAGAACUCUGAAGAUGAUGAUUCUGACCUGCACUCUCCUCGAUACUCCUUUUCUGAAGACACAAAGUCUCCCCUUUCUGUGCCUCGCUCAAAAAGUGAGAUGAACUACAUUGACGGGGAGAAAGUGGUCAAGAGGUCUGCCACACUCCCCCUCCCAGCCCGCUCCUCCUCACUCAAGUCCAGCCCAGAGAGAAACGACUGGGAGCCCCCAGAUAAGAAAGUGGAUACGAGAAAAUACCGAGCAGAGCCCAAAA